UAGGGAAUCUUCCGCAAUGGGCGAAAGCCUGACGGAGCAACGCCGCGUGAGUGAUGAAGGUCUUCGGAUCGUAAAACUCUGUUAUUAGGGAAGAACAAAUGUGUAAGUAACUAUGCACGUCUUGACGGUACCUAAUCAGAAAGCCACGGCUAACUACGUGCCAGCAGCCGCGGUAAUACGUAGGUGGCAAGCGUUAUCCGGAAUUAUUGGGCGUAAAGCGCGCGUAGGCGGUUUUUUAAGUCUGAUGUGAAAGCCCACGGCUCAACCGUGGAGGGUCAUUGGAAACUGGAAAACUUGAGUGCAGAAGAGGAAAGUGGAAUUCCAUGUGUAGCGGUGAAAUGCGCAGAGAUAUGGAGGAACACGAGUGGCGAAGGCGACUUUCUGGUCUGUAACUGACGCUGAUGUGCGAAAGCGUGGGGAUCAAACAGG
rnacentral:rRNA from 1 species